rnacentral:rRNA from 1 species
UACGGAGGGUGCAAGCGUUAUCCGGAUUUACUGGGUUUAAAGGGUGUGUAGGCGGGCUUUUAAGUCAGUGGUGAAAUCUUUCCGCUUAACGGAAAAACUGCCAUUGAUACUAUUAGUCUUGAAUAUUGUUGAGGUAGGCGGAAUAAGUCAUGUAGCGGUGAAAUGCAUAGAUAUGACUUAGAACACCAAUUGCGAAGGCAGCUUACUAAACAAUGAUUGACGCUGAGGCACGAAAGCGUGGGGAUCAAACAGG